rnacentral:rRNA from 1 species
ACGUAGGGUGCGAGCGUUAACCGGAAUUACUGGGCGUAAAGCGUGCGUAGGCGGCGGCUUAAGUCAGAUGUGAAAUAUCCGGGCUUAACGUGGAGAGUGCAUUUGAAACUGGGGAGCUUGAGUGCAGCAGAGGAGAGUGGAAUUCCUCGUGUAGCAGUGGAAUGCGUAGAGAUUUGGAGGAAUACCAGUGGCGAAGGCGGCUCUCUGGGCUCUUACUGACGCUCAUGCACGAAAGCGUGGGGAGCAAACAG